rnacentral:rRNA from 1 species
UACAGAGGUCCCGAGCGUUGUUCGGAUUUAUUGGGCGUAAAGAGCUCGUAGGCGGCUUGUCGCGUCGUUCGUGAAAACCUGUGGCUCAACUACAGGCUUGCGGUCGAUACGGGCAGGCUGGAGUUCGGUAGGGGAGACUGGAAUUCCUGGUGUAGCGGUGAAAUGCGCAGAUAUCAGGAGGAACACCGGUGGCGAAGGCGGGUCUCUGGGCCGAUAUCGACGCUGAGGAGCGAAAGCGUGGGGAGCGAACAGG